rnacentral:rRNA from 1 species
UACGGAGGGUGCGAGCGUUGUCCGGAAUUACUGGGCGUAAAGGGUGCGUAGGCGGUUCGUUAAGUCUGUUGUGAAAUCCCCGGGCUCAACCUGGGAAUGGCGAUGGAUACUGGCGAGCUAGAGUGUGUCAGAGGAUGGUGGAAUUCCCGGUGUAGCGGUGAAAUGCGUAGAGAUCGGGAGGAACAUCAGUGGCGAAGGCGGCCAUCUGGGACAACACUGACGCUGAAGCACGAAAGCGUGGGGAGCAAACAGG